GUUAUGUAUUGAAGAAUACAGUCUAUAAUACAUAUAAAAUAUGUGUUAAUUGACUAUACUAUCAGCAAGGCUUCAAGUCAAGGGGGAGGUGGAUGCCAUGUUGUGAGGACACUCAAGCAGCUCUACAGAGACGCCCCCAGGAUGAGAAACCGAGGCCUCCUGCCAACAGCCAUAGAGUGCACCAUCCAGUCCCAGUCAAACCUUCAGAUGACUGCAGCCCAGGCCAACACCUUGAUUGCAGCUUCAUAAGAGACUCUGAUAGUAGCACCACCCAGAUGAGGAGACUGAAGUACAGGAGAGGUUACAUAACUUAUCCAAGAGGGUGAAAUUGAGGUGGAGAGAGUGACUUAAUGUGCUGGUACAGAGUGUGGCAUCUCAUGUGUGACUACCUAGGCUCAAACCUUUCUCAUACAUUUAACAAGUGUGUGACUUGGAAAAGCUGCUUAGUCCAAGACUCAGAGUCAUCCAUAAAGUGGGGAAAAAAUUAACCCUAACUCAUAGAAUCUGUUUUGAGGAUCAAAUGAGAUAGCUCAUCUAGAGCUCCUGGCAGAGCGCCUGCACCUGAUGAUAAUUUAAUCAACAUUAACUGUUAUUUAUUGUUUAUGUGUCAGUCACAGAGACUCACAGUUUGGGAUUCCAAACUGAUUCUACAACUUCAAGCCUGACAUUCUUUUGGAAAUAACUCAGCUGUCAUCUAGUGCUAAUACUGCUAUAAAUAAAGGAUGUGACCUUGAGCG
rnacentral:lncRNA from 1 species